UACGAGGGGGGCGAGUGUUGUUCGGAUUUACUGGGUGUAAAGGGAGUGUAGGCGGUCUGAUAAGUCAGGGGUGAAAUGCCCACGCUUAACGUGGUGCAGUGCCUUUGAUACUGUCGGGCUUGAGUGCUGGAGAGGGUAACGGAAUUCCAGGUGUAGCGGUGGAAUGCGUAGAUAUCUGGAAGAACACCGGUUGCGAAGGCGGUUACCUGGCCAGCCACUGACGCUGAGGCUCGAAAGUCGGGGGA
rnacentral:rRNA from 1 species